AGGGAGCAUUCCCAAUCAUUCAACUUCUACACAAUUUCCCUUUCUUUGAUCCCUAUCUUUUUCUUUUUCUUUUCAAAUCCACACAACCAUGAUCAUUUUCUUUGCUUCUUUCUUCCUUUUUUUUUCUUUGCUCUAUGGUUUCAAGGGUGAUUUCUUUUUCUUGUUUCUUUUCAUACUUUUUCACCCUUUCAUAAAAACUCACUUUUCCAAUUUUCUAAUCACUUCUCAUUUUACUCUCCCC
rnacentral:lncRNA from 1 species